GAUGAACGCUGGCGGCGUGCCUAAUACAUGCAAGUCGAGCGAACAGACGAGGAGCUUGCUCCUCUGACGUUAGCGGCGGACGGGUGAGUAACACGUGGAUAACCUACCUAUAAGACUGGGAUAACUUCGGGAAACCGGAGCUAAUACCGGAUAAUAUAUUGAACCGCAUGGUUCAUCAGUGAAAGACGGUUUUGCUGUCACUUAUAGAUGGAUCCGCGCCGCAUUAGCUAGUUGGUAAGGUAACGGCUUACCAAGGCGACGAUGCGUAGCCGACCUGAGAGGGUGAUCGGCCACACUGGAACUGAGACACGGUCCAGACUCCUACGGGAGGCAGCAGUAGGGAAUCUUCCGCAAUGGGCGAAAGCCUGACGGAGCAACGCCGCGUGAGUGAUGAAGGUCUUCGGAUCGUAAAACUCUGUUAUUAGGGAAGAACAAAUGUGUAAGUAACUAUGCACGUCUUGACGGUACCUAAUCAGAAAGCCACGGCUAACUACGUG
rnacentral:rRNA from 1 species